rnacentral:tRNA from 1 species
CGGGGUAUAGUUUAAUGCCUAGAACGACUCUUUUACACUGAGUUAGCACUCGUUAAAAUCGGGUUGCCCUGA